UGGCUCAGAUGGUAAAGCACCUGCCUACAGUGCAGGAGACCCAGGUUCGAUCCCUGG
rnacentral:tRNA from 1 species